UACGGGGGGGGCAAGCGUUGUUCGGAAUUACUGGGCGUAAAGGGCUCGUAGGCGGCCAACUAAGUCAGACGUGAAAUCCCUCGGCUUAACCGGGGAACUGCGUCUGAUACUGGAUGGCUUGAGUUUGGGAGAGGGAUGCGGAAUUCCAGGUGUAGCGGUGAAAUGCGUAGAUAUCUGGAGGAACACCGGUGGCGAAGGCGGCAUCCUGGGCCAACACUGACGCUGAGUGAGCGAAGGCGUGGGGAGCAAACAGG
rnacentral:rRNA from 1 species